rnacentral:rRNA from 1 species
GACGAACGCUGGCGGCGUGCUUAACACAUGCAAGUCGAACGGUAAGGCCCUUCGGGGUACACGAGUGGCGAACGGGUGAGUAACACGUGGGUGAUCUGCCCUGCACUUCAGGAUAAGCCUGGGAAACUGGGUCCAAUACCGGAUAGGACUCCGGACUGCAUGGUCUGGGGUGGAAAGCUUUUGCGGUGUGGGAUGGGCCCGCGGCCUAUCAGCUUGUUGGUGGGGUGAUGGCCUACCAAGGCGACGACGGGUAGCCGGCCUGAGAGGGUGACCGGCCACACUGGGACUGAGAUACGGCUCAGACUCCUACGGGAGGCAGCAGUGGGGAAUAUUGCACAAUGGGCGCAAGCCUGAUGCAGCGACGCCGCGUGAGGGAUGACGGCCUUCGGGUUGUAAACCUCUUUCAGCAUCGACGAAGCGAAAGUGACGGUAGGUGCAGAAGAAGGACCGGCCAACUACGUGCCAGCAGCCGCCGCGG